rnacentral:rRNA from 1 species
GAUGAACGCUGGCGGCGUGCCUAAUACAUGCAAGUCGAGCGAACGGACGAGAAGCUUGCUUCUCUGAUGUUAGCGGCGGACGGGUGAGUAACACGUGGAUAACCUACCUAUAAGACUGGGAUAACUUCGGGAAACCGUAGCUAAUACCGGAUAAUAUUUUGAACCGCAUGGUUCAAAAGUGAAAGACGGUCUUGCUGUCACUUAUAGAUGGAUCCGCGCUGCAUUAGCUAGUUGGUAAGGUAACGGCUUACCAAGGCAACGAUGCAUAGCCGACCCGAGAGGGGGAUCGGCCACACUGGAACUGAGACACGGUCCAGACUCCUACGGGAGGCAGCAGUAGGGAAUCUUCCGCAAUGGGCGAAAGCCUGACGGAGCAACGCCGCGUGAGUGAUGAAGGUCUUCGGAUCGUAAAACUCUGUUAUUAGGGAAGAACAUAUGUGUAAGUAACUGUGCACAUCUUGACGGUACCUAAUCAGAAAGCCACGGCUAACUACGUG